rnacentral:rRNA from 1 species
GUCCUAGCCCGUGAGUUGACUUGGUUUUGCUCCACAACAAGAAAUUAGACGACCUCUCCAAUCCGAUCAGAAUUUUGCUUCAACCUGAUCGACUAAUCUAGGCCGGCCGGCUCUCCGCCCUGCAACUGCGUCCCUGGCAGUUUGAGGAAGGAUCCGGGGAGAAGCUGAAAGCCGCGCCAUGGAAUUGGAGGCCCCGGUGGUCGAAGCAGAUCCGGGGAGAAGAAUCACAAGAGGAGCAGGAGGCGGCGGCGGCGGCGGCGAGGGGGAGGGCCCGGCUGGUCGGACCACCCUCCUGCCCUGCCUCAACUGCGACAUCCAGGUGGUGCACAAGCUGGCGCAGCUGCUCCUCCCGGGCCUGGCCGCGGCGUGCGUCGACAGCACCCUCGGGAGCCCCUCCUCCGCGCUCGCCGUCCAGCUGCGCGCGGAGCUGGUCCGCUACGUCGCGCACCGCAGCAGCAGCCCGCCCGAGGCGGAGGAGGAGGAGGACCCGAUCGACCGCGACGACCCGGCCGAGGCGCUGGCCGCGUUCCUGGACGACUUCGCGGGCAGCAAGAGGAGCGUCGCCGUCUCCAUCGCCGGCUGGCUCCCGUACCUGGGCGGCGGCGACGACGGCCGCGACGACCGGAUCGAGGACCUCGUCGAGGAGAUGGAGGCGAGCCGCUUCUGGCCGGUCGAGAGGCGGGAGGCCGUCGCGCGGGACCUCCUCCGCGGCCUGGACGCCGGCGGCGGCCGGUUCCGCUGCCGCGAGGAGCUGGGGACGCCGGAGGAGCUCGCGGACCACGUCGCCGCGCGCUGCGGAUUCAGGCCCGUGCGGUGCCGGAACCAGGCCCAGGGCUGCCGGGCCGAGGUCUCCGCCUGCCGCGCCGACGCGCACGACGAGGCGUGCGCCUUCAAGCUCCUCCCCUGCGAGCAGCGCUGCGGCCUCGCCGUCGCCCGCCGCCAGAUGGACCGGCACUGCGUCACCGUCUGCCCCAUGAAGCUCGCCAACUGCCCCUUCUUCCAGCUCGGCUGCGAGUCCGCCUUCCCGGCCUGCAACCUCGGGUCGCACUGCGCCGAGUUCCUUCGGCCACACCUCCGCCUGCUCCUUAGUCCCAGCAAGAUCGGCGCCGGUCGUCUGGAUCCGGAGGAGCGUCUUCUACGGCUGGAGAAGCAUGAUUCCGAUGGUGCGUUGGGCGAAGCUUUGGACGUGAGGUCUCUCACUAACGCCAUUGCUCAGCUAGAGAAGAAGAUGGACGCUGAAGAUGGUUCCCCCGGUUACACCGGAGACGACAACAAAGAAGCAAUGCCCACACAAGAUUCCAACUCCGCAGCUCUGCACUAGUUUCGUUCCCUGAUGCAGGAAUUUUUUGGAAAAAAAAACAUUUUUGUUUCUUAUAUACUCCCUCUGUACCAUACUACUAGUAUAUAUGUCGUUUUAACAGUUCAAAUUGAAUUGCUAAAACGAAAUAUAUUAUGGUACGGAGGGACUAUUUUUGGAAAGCACCACACCUUUUCUUUUUUGAACAAUCGGCAGAAACGUUGUCCUUUUAUUCAGAAGAACAUAGAAUUUGUACAAAAAACGAUGGUCCCACUAAUUAAGCAGUUUAUACAAGGUUUGCGAAAAGUUGAAACC